AACGCACAUUGCGCCCCUUGGUAUUCCAUGGGGCAUGCCUGUUCGAGCGUCAUUUGUACCCUCAAGCUCUGCUUGGUGUUGGGUGUUUGUCCACUCCCCCGUGUCUGGACUCGCCUUAAAGCAAUUGGCAGCCAGUGUUUUGGUAUUGAAGCGCAGCACAUUUUGCGCCUCUAGCCUAGAAAUACUGACGUCCAGUAAGCCUUUUUCCACUUUUGACCUCGGAUCAGGUAGGGAUACCCGCUGAACUUAA
rnacentral:misc_RNA from 2 species